CGAGGUCCGGCUGUGUGUCCCUUUCAGCGCUUGGGGCCGAGGCCGGGAUGGCUCCUUGGAGCUUCCAGUAUUUACUUAGCACCUACUACGUGCCCAGCCCUGUGGAUACAGAGAUGAACAAAGCCUAAUUCCUGCUCACAAAAGACUUUCUGACUAGUGAUGUGACUACCCUGUUUAUGAAGAGAGAAAAACUGAGAGCCAGGGAAGGAGCAGACCGGCUCAGGAGCACACAGCUUGAG